AUGGUCCUACUUUGCAUGUCAGUAUUGUACUGUGAUUUUGUCAUUACGCUUUUCCUCACACCGCCACCUCUGCUUGCCCAACAGCAUCAUCUCUGCACUGCACUGACAGGAUGGAGAUGGAAUACUCUGCCAUUACAACAAAAUGGACUGUGCUUAGAAUUUUUUCAAGACAGAAUGCUCAUGGCCCUGCCUAGCUCAUGCAUAAAAUUUGCUCCAGCUAGUAGUAGCCCACUGAGCACAACCCACAGAAACACCUUCCUGCCUGGAGAAGACUACUGAGGUGAGUGCUCUCUUCGAUCACAGCUCUUACUACAUUACGGGGUCAUUACCAUGACAAUUUAGUUCUUAAAGGAACUACAAACCCUCAAGGCCAGAAUUAUUUGGUAACCAGAGAGUAAGAAUUUAGCCUUCCCUUACAUUAUUUCAGUGUAAUCUCAUGUCCCUCCAGUCUAUUAGAGACACCUGUUAGGAUUUAUAUUGAGGUAGUUUUGAUAUUCAUCUGAUGCAUAUGACAAGAUAUAAGCUAUUCAUAUGAACAUAGCAGAAUUUUAAUGAAAAUUACCUUGGGAUUAUCAUUACUUCAUGCAGAUUGCCAUUCAAUUUCCUCUCAAAAUAAUACAUGCUUUUUCACAGUUUAUAAUUAUAUCAUAUUAUCUCUUUAACCUCUAUAGUAAAACCAAAGUUUUGGAGUAGAAAGUGUGUCCUGCAGAGAACUAAUAGAGAACAUCUAGAAAGCCAAAGGUUAGAAGAGCAGUUUGAAUUCCUUUCCGUUCUAUGGGAAGGGUUAUGUAUAAAAACUGCUGGCAGACACUUUUAAAGAUACAACUUUAAAAUAUCACAGAAAGAUAAAAGUGAUCAAUCCAUACGCUAUGAAAUCAUCCCAUCUGGUUCCAAUACACAGGAAAUUAAUCCAGACCAAAUCAAAAACCACAUAUAUCAGCUUAAAACUAUUUGAAAAAAGAGUUGAACAAUCCACAAUAAUCAACUAUGAAAACAGCUGCACCAAAGAUUCCCAAGCCAGAAGAACUUAAUCCUAUAAAUUGGUCUUCCUAGCAGCAGCAGAGUUUAAGACAUAAAUCAACGUUUGAAAUACGAUUCUAAAAUAAGAACAAACAAAAGUUGUCUAGAAUGCUUCCAUAAUCACAGUGAGAAUUCUGUCAUUCUUUUCUCUAAAGGAACAGCUUAAAUUGCCUAAGAACUGCCAUUUUAGAACAUUUGAUUUCUCUGUUAUCAUCUUCAUACUCAUUUACAGUAAUUUUCACGGUUUAGAAAAAAGUCUGGUAAACAAGCAUAUCAAUUUUCUUCUUAAAAAAAAAAAAAAAGUACAGAAUGGGCAGCUGCAUAGUGAUAUAGCAGCAUGCCUCUACCCUGAUUUGCAAUGAAUUUGCUUUCCUCAUUGAAAAUGAGGAAAAGCAAAUUGAGGUAAAAAGUUUAGACUGACUUUUCACACGGAGAAUUAAUGAUAUUCUUACUAUGCUUACUAUGAAUCUCAGUAUUAUGAAAGGGAAAAGAUACGUAUAUAAUUUAGUACCCCUUUACGUACAUCAAAGCCAUACCCCCUUCUUCUCUCACCUUUCAGCUGUGUCUUCUGAAAGUCAAAAAUAGUCAAUAUAUUUCUUUUUAUUCUUUAUAGGUUUGUUGCAAAGUCAUUGAAAUUAAUGCAAAACCUCAACUUGCAUUUAAAUUCUAAAUAAGGCUGUACACGGUUAUUUCCUUCGAUCAGAGGACAUGAAUAGGUCAUAUUGGCUGUAAUUCUGUAUUUGUCUGGGAAAGGCCUGUGACAUUUGGGCUUCUUAGUUGUUUUUAUUGUGUUCAUGGCAGGGAUGAGAAGUAGAGCUGGAAAAGAAGUGGGGAUCAUAUUGGUGAUCAUCUAGUGAAUGCAACUGUGUAUCAACUUCAUUCUUCAUGAAGCUGAAAUUAGAGUUCGCCAUUUCAGAAUUAAAAUUUGAAAUUAUUUUUUUUUUUAUUACUUUGAAAACAGCUGUAGCAGUUUUGGUAUUACUGUGCUGUAUUUGAGACUAAACAGAAAGCUCAUUUUGCACUCCUGUGUGAAGUUGUGGUAUUACUUGAACCUUUGGAGCAAUGAUGCAUGCUAAAAUAGAUAACUUCACUGAAAUAAUGAAAAUAAAUUCAAUAACAAGGAUCA
rnacentral:lncRNA from 1 species